CUUAUUUUGUUGAGUGCUAACAGAAGUGGGUGGUGGCAAGUCACUCAAAGCUUUUAGUAAAGUGAGAUGUUGAAAUAGGACAAAUCAGUAAAGACUCAUACUUUCUCAAAUCCAGCUGAGGAAAUUCUGAGGAGCUGGGAUUCUCUUUUAGCGAGUCUAGUCCAUCUUCUGAUUCUCGUCAUUACAGGACAAGGAAACUGAGGCACGGAGCCAUCCAUGUGAACGAGUCUCGUAGUAAGCGAUGGAACUAGGAUGCAACUCUCUGGUGUGAGUGCCCCGCUGUGAGCGCUACCUUUCCUCCUUCAAGCGGUAAUAAGCAGUAAAAAUAUUCAGUACCUAUUCUCCUCUGGGAAGGGAUGACACAACAGAGACAAUGGCAGAAGACAUACAUCAGAGAGAGAGAGAUUACAGUAUGCAAUCUCUCAGCUGCCAACAGAACACAGAUGGGCUUGGGAACACAGAAUGAUCCAGAUCCGCAGGACUCGAGCAAUCCGUGGGAAGUUUGGACAGAAGAUCUGAUGCAUCAGACAGUAAAGGACUAUUGAAUGUUCCAUGAUAAAUGUGCUUGUUCUUUUGCCUGCAUGCCCUUGAAUAAAGACAUUUUGAUCUCCAGGGCCAACCUGAGAAACAUAUAAUUUAAUCUAGUUUUGAAAGAAGAGCCCUGCUACACAAACACUGGCUCACAAUGUUAAAAGAUAUCAACUGAAAUAUUGAAGGGCUUUCAUAUUUCAGUAAAUUGACUAUCCUAUGUGUUUGAUAUUUCCAUUUAAUUGAAUAUUUCUUAACUCAGUGAAAAAUGUAUGAGCCUGCUAUGAUAAAUUCAGUAUUGCAUAUGGGAAUUUCAAGUAUCUUUUAUUGAAUCUUAUUUCUUGAUCUCUCUCCUUUCAAAGAGAGAUACAAAAAGACCGUUAGCCUGCUUGCUUCUGUUUUUUUCUGCCCCAUCUCCACCUUUAUUCCCAAACUGUGGUUCACACAUUUAUUUCCAUUUUUAAAAAUUUUCUCUUGCUGCUGCCAUUCUCUUAUUACUCAUUUUUUAAAUACCUAGUCCACUUUCUUUACUUUUCUUUAAUGUCUGCCUCAGAGCUCAGCUUUUUUAGUUAAUUGACGAUAUCACUAACCUUUAGUUCUGAGAGACUGAAUACACAGUCACACCACACAUAGAAAUAGAAUUCUAACCCACAAACUGCAAUAACCAGAGCAAGACCACAGCCUCCACGGCAAUUAGCCCAAAACGGUCAGUACCUGAUCAAUAAUGGACAACUUUCACAAUUUUUAGCUGCCUUCCUCUACUUCCAACUUUGGACCAACUGAAGAAAGACAAAUAUGCUGCCUAAUCACCCUCAUAGGAUACUUUUCUUUCAGUUAUCGGGCUUCCGACUCCUUUAUACCAAUAGCCUUCAAUCAAGCAGACCCGAAGUCUUCCCUUUUUUCCAUUCUAAAGCUUUCCUACUCCUCUGCCUGCCUUUGAGUCUCUGCCAAACAUAAAUAAUGGCGGUUGACUUCCUUACUAUGCCAGCUCUGAAUAAAUAUCCUUUUCUUGUUUGCAUCUGGGUACACUUCAUUUGUUUCCAUAGUUCUUUCAUUCUGUGAACUAUCCAAUUAAAAACUUUUUAAAAUAAAUACCAUGCUCUUGGCUUUUCUGCAAUCAUCAACUCUCUUUAGCUUCUUCCUUCAAUUCCACACCUUAUCCAGAUGCAAGCUAGCUUUUAGGAAGUUUUAGGAGGUACUUUUCCACUACAUAUAUUUUAUUUGACUGAAAAAUGAUAAAAUAUCAUUUAAAUUGAAUGUACACCAACUGUGGCUCCUGAAUAAUAAAAACAUAAAUUUGUAUCCAUAAGCAUAAUAGGACAUUUAAUAAUCCUUGUUACAUAUAUUGAUGAACAUAUUCUGUAAAGUCAUUUAGUCUUGUGCCAAAUAGAAACUAUAAAAAUAUAAUGAACUUUUUGUCAAAAACUGUUAUGUAAGGCCUUGGAAGUUUCUAGUAGUUCAGUGCUUUCUAUUCCAUUCACGUUUUUGUUGAAAUAAAAUGGAAAAGAAAAUAACCUUGUAUAUGCAUAUUAGAACUAACAGGUAAGGGUUUCCAUGGAUACUUUUAUGCAGCCAAAGAGUUCGUGUGUGGAAAAAGGCAUUCAUUUCUAGUUCUAAGAGAUUCUGUUCUGAUAAGGAACUCCUGCCAAUCGUUUUAUGUCUUGACUUUCUAACAGAAUAAAAAUAAUAUAUAUCAUGUGUGUUAUGUGUAAGUCAUGAGAUAGUUCUAUCUAAAUAACCUUUUCAAUCAUCUGGCCUAUUCGAGUAAUACCUUGGAAUUUUGUUAAAGCUUGGAAAAUCUACGAAGAUUUUGUAAGCAACUUUUAAUGAGUUUAUUGCUUUCUAGAUAUGUAUGAGGAAUCUUUUUUCUCUCUUUUUCUUGGUCAUACUUAGGCAGUUUAAAUUAACCAACUACUAGUGCUAGAAUAAAAGUUUAUCUUUUACUUAAAAUAGCUUUGUUAUCUUUUAUCUUUAAUUUUACCUUUAAUUUUUAUCUUUUUAUCUUUAAUUUUAUCUUGAAUAAAUUUCAAAUAUCUUUGAUUGAAUCUUAUUAGUUAAUAUCCUACCCAAAUGAAAUUUUCUGCAAGUUUUCUUUUUAUCUUUUUGAGAAACAUGUCAAAAAAGAUUUCACACCAUGAAACUGCUAGGUUAAAUUUUAAGCCAUACAGUUUUAUGAGAAGCUUGAUGAGGUUCUGUGACCUUUUAAUGAGCGAAUUCAUUCUAAACAACAUGUUUUAAAUGUAGCACUAUUGUUUUACACUGACUUGCGCCUAAGCAAUUAUAAAUUGUGAGCAUGGC
ensembl:lncRNA